rnacentral:misc_RNA from 1 species
GUAACAAGGUUUCCGUAGGUGAACCUGCGGAAGGAUCAUUACCUAGAGUUUGUGGACUUCGGUCUGCUACCUCUUACCCAUGUCUUUUGAGUACCUUCGUUUCCUCGGCGGGUCCGCCCGCCGGUUGGACAACAUUCAAACCCUUUGCAGUUGCAAUCAGCGUCUGAAAAAACUUAAUAGUUACAACUUUCAACAACGGAUCUCUUGGUUCUGGCAUCGAUGAAGAACGCAGCGAAAUGCGAUAAGUAGUGUGAAUUGCAGAAUUCAGUGAAUCAUCGAAUCUUUGAACGCACAUUGCGCCCCUUGGUAUUCCAUGGGGCAUGCCUGUUCGAGCGUCAUUUGUACCUUCAAGCUCUGCUUGGUGUUGGGUGUUUUGUCUCGCCUCCGCGCGCAGACUCGCCUUAAAACAAUUGGCAGCCGGCGUAUUGAUUUCGGAGCGCAGUACAUCUCGCGCUUUGCACUCAUAACGACGACGUCCAAAAGUACAUUUUUACACUCUUGACCUCGGAUCAGGUAGGGAUACCCGCUGAACCUAAGCAU